GACGAACGCUGGCGGCGUGCUUAACACAUGCAAGUCGAACGGAAAGGCCCUGCUUUUUUGGUGUGCUCGAGUGGCGAACGGGUGAGUAACACGUGAGUAACCUGCCCUUGACUUUGGUAUAACUUCAGGAAACUGGGGCUAAUACCGGAUAGGAUCUCCUGCUGCAUGGUGGGGGUUGGAAAGUUUCGGCGGUUGGGGAUGGACUCGCGGCUUAUCAGCUUGUUGGUGGGGUAGUGGCUUACCAAGGCUUUGACGGGUAGCCGGCAUGAGAGGGUGACCGGCCAAAUUGGGACUGAGAUACGGCCCAGACUCCUACGGGAGGCAGCAGUGGGGAAUAUUGCACAAUGGGCGGAAGCCAGAUGCAGCAACGCCGCGUGCGGGAUGACGGCCUUCGGGUUGUAAACCGCUUUCGCCUGUGACGAAGCGUGAGUGACGGUAAUGGGUAAAGAAGCACCGGCUAACUACGUG
rnacentral:rRNA from 1 species